rnacentral:rRNA from 1 species
UACGGGGGGAGCAAGCGUUGUUCGGAUUUACUGGGCGUAAAGGGCGCGUAGGCGGCCAGCACAAGUCAGUUGUGAAAUCUCCGAGCUUAACUCGGAACGGUCAACUGAUACUGUGCGGCUAGAGUGUGUCAGAGGGGGGUAGAAUUCCACGUGUAGCAGUGAAAUGCGUAGAGAUGUGGAGGAAUACCGAUGGCGAAGGCAGCCCCCUGGGAUAACACUGACGCUCAUGCACGAAAGCGUGGGGAGCAAACAGG